UGGAGCAAAUCUCAAAAAGCCGUCCCAGUUCGGAUUGCAGGCUGCAACCCGCCUGCAUGAAGUUGGAAUCGCUAGUAAUCGCGGAUCAGCAUGCCGCGGUGAAUACGUUCCCGGGCCUUGUACACACCGCCCGUCACACCAUGAGAGUCGGGAACACCCGAAGUCCGUAGCCUGACCGCAAGGAGGGCGCGGCCGAAGGUGGGUUCGAUAAUUGGGGUGAAGUCGUAACAAGGUAGC
rnacentral:rRNA from 1 species